AUUGAACGCUGGCGGCAUGCCUUACACAUGCAAGUCGAACGGUAACAGGUCUUCGGAUGCUGACGAGUGGCGAACGGGUGAGUAAUACAUCGGAACGUGCCCGAUCGUGGGGGAUAACGAAGCGAAAGCUUUGCUAAUACCGCAUACGAUCUACGGAUGAAAGCGGGGGAUCUUCGGACCUCGCGCGGACGGAGCGGCCGAUGGCAGAUUAGGUAGUUGGUGGGAUAAAAGCUUACCAAGCCGACGAUCUGUAGCUGGUCUGAGAGGAUGAUCAGCCACACUGGGACUGAGACACGGCCCAGACUCCUACGGGAGGCAGCAGUGGGGAAUUUUGGACAAUGGGCGCAAGCCUGUUCCAGCCAUGCCGCGUGCAGGAUGAAGGCCUUCGGGUUGUAAACUGCUUUUGUACGGAACGAAAAGGUGCCUUCUAAUAAAGGGCGCUCAUGACGGUACCGUAAGAAUAAGCACCGGCUAACUACGU
rnacentral:rRNA from 1 species